UUGCCUUUUGAAAACACGACCGGUGCACAAGUAACGCAAAGCUGCCGGGGAGGAGCAGCCUCCUCGGCUCCACCGGCCCCGAACAUGCUCUCGCCCUCUGGGGCGUGCUGGUCGUGGCGUCGGAAUACGGCGCAGGAUGACGCCAAGGAACACAUAUUUGCUGAGGCGGACGGUGAUGCUUCGGCAUUGCACGAUCUGUUGAGGCCAAAGUAAUAGAAAUGAGAUGACUCCCGGCAACGGAUAUCUCGGCUCUCGCAUCGAUGAAGAACGUAGCGAAAUGCGAUACAUGGUGUGAAUUGCAGAAUCCCGUGAACCAUCGAGUCUUUGAACGCAAGUUGCGCCCGAGGGACCAUCCCGAGGGCACGCCUGCCUCAUGGGCGUUAGAAGCCCAUCCACGCUCGGUGCAAGUGCCUUCCGGGCUGGCCCGAUGCGGACAAUGGCCCUCCGUGCCGUGAGGCGCGACGGGCACAAGUGUAUGGCCGUCGGUUGAGGCCGGGAGCGGCGAGUGGUGGGCUACUGCGCACGCUGCCUCCGAACCUCAUGCCGACAUAGGGCCAAGUUUGACCCCGAAACGAGGAAUCUGUCGUCGCGUGCGGCAGCCUCGGACCGAU
rnacentral:rRNA from 1 species